UACGUAGGGUGCAAGCGUUGUCCGGAAUUAUUGGGCGUAAAGAGCUCGUAGGCGGUGUGUCGCGUCGGCCGUGAAAACCUGCAGCUUAACUGUGGGCUUGCGGUCGAUACGGGCAUCACUGGAGUUCGGCAGGGGAGACUGGAAUUCCUGGUGUAGCGGUGAAAUGCGCAGAUAUCAGGAGGAACACCGGUGGCGAAGGCGGGUCUCUGGGCCGAUACUGACGCUGAGGAGCGAAAGCGCGGGGAGCGAACAGG
rnacentral:rRNA from 1 species